rnacentral:rRNA from 1 species
ACGGUCCUAAGGUAGCGAAAUUCCUUGUCGGGUAAGUUCCGACCCGCACGAAUGGCGUAACGACUUGUGAGCUGUCUCAACAGGAGGCCCGGUGAAAUUGAAGUAUGUGUGAAGAUGCACAUUACCCGCGACUGGACGGAAAGACCCCGUAGAGCUUUACUGUAACCUGACAUUGGAUCUUGAUAACGGAUGCACAGGAUAGGUGGGACGCUGGGAGACGAGGACUUUGGUUUUCGUGGAGCGGCCGUUGGGAUACCACUCUUCUGUUAUUGAGAUUCUAACCUCAAGCCGUGAGCCGGAUGAGAGACAGUGUCAGGCGGACAGUUUGACUGGGGCGGUCGCCUCCGAAAGAGUAACGGAGGCGCCCAAAGGUACCCUCAGAAUGGAUGGAAACCAUUCGAAGAGAGCAAAGUCAGAAGGGUGCUUGACUGCGAGACCAACAAGUCGAGCAGGUACGAAAGUAGGGCUUAGUGAUCCGGCGGUAAGAGAGUGGAAUUGCCGUCGCUCAACGGAUAAAAGCUACCUCGGGGAUAACAGGCUGAUCUCCCCCAAGAGUUCACAUCGACGGGGAGGUUUGGCACCUCGAUGUCGGCUCAUCGCAUCCUGGAGCUGAAGUCGGUUCCAAGGGUUGGGCUGUUCGCCCAUUAAAGCGGUACGCGAGCUGGGUUCAGAACGUCGUGAGACAGUUCGGUCCCUAUCUGUCGUGGGCGCAGGAAAUUUGAGAAGAGCUGUCCUCAGUACGAGAGGACCGGGAUGGACGCAUCAAUGGUGGACCAGUUGUCACGCCAGUGGCAUAGCUGGGUAGCUAAAUGCGGAAGGGAUAAACGCUGAAGGCAUCUAAGUGUGAAACCCACUUCAAGAUGAGAUUUCCCAUUGCGCAAGCAAGUAAGACCCCUUAAAGACGAUAAGGUAGAUAGGUCAGGAGUGUAAGCAUGGUGACAUGUUAAGCGGACUGAUACUAAUAGGUCGAGGGCUUGACCGA